rnacentral:rRNA from 1 species
AUUGAACGCUGGCGGCAUGCUUUACACAUGCAAGUCGGACGAGUGGCGAACGGGUGAGUAAAGCAGCGGAACGUACCGAGAAAUGGGGGAUAAAUGGCAGAAAGGACAGCUAAUAACGCAUAUUAUGCGAGCGGCAGAUGUUUGAUUGGCUGGUUGGCGGGGUAAAGGUCCACCAAGGCGACGAUCCGUAGCGGGUCUGAGAGGAUGAUCCGCCACACUGGGACUGAGACACGGCCCAGACUCCUACGGGAGGCAGCAGUGGGGAAUUUUGGCCAAUGGGCGCAAGCCUGAUCCAGCCAUGCCGCGUGUCUGAAGAAGGCCUUCGGGUUGUAAAGGACUUUUGUCAGGGAAGCGGUACCUGAAGAAUAAGCACCGGCUAACUACGUGCCAGCCGCCGCGGUAAUUC